rnacentral:rRNA from 2 species
UGGGGAAUAUUGCACAAUGGAGGGAACUCUGAUGCAGCGACGCCGCGUGAACGAAGAAGGCUUUCGAGUCGUAAAGUUCUUUUAUAUGGGAAGAUAAUGACGGCACCAUAAGAAAAAGCCCCGGCUAACUACGUGCCAGCAGCCGCGGUAAUACGUAGGGGGCUAGCGUUGUCCGGAAUCACUGGGCGUAAAGGGUUCGCAGGCGGAAAUGCAAGUCAGGUGUAAAAGGCAGUAGCUUAACUACUGUAAGCAUUUGAAACUGCAUAUCUUGAGAAGAGUAGAGGUAAGUGGAAUUUUUAGUGUAGCGGUGAAAUGCGUAGAUAUUAAAAAGAAUACCGGUGGCGAAGGCGACUUACUGGGCUCAUUCUGACGCUGAGGAACGAAAGCGUGGGUAGCAAACAGG